GGACGGGUGAGUAAUGUCUGGGAAACUGCCUGAUGGGGGGGGAGUAACUACUGGAAACGGUAGCUAAUACCGCAUAACGUCGCAAGACCAAAGAGGGGGACCUUCGGGCCUCUUGCCAUCAGAUGUGCCCAGAUGGGAUCAGCUAGUAGGUGGGGUAACGGCUCACCUAGGCGACGAUCCCUAGCUGGUCUGAGAGGAUGACCAGCCACACUGGAACUGAGACACGGUCCAGACUCCUACGGGAGGCAGCAUG
rnacentral:rRNA from 1 species